rnacentral:rRNA from 1 species
GCCUGAUGCAUUCAGCCAUGACAACACCAAGCCAGAGUCUGAGGUGGACUCAGACGCGCCUUCCCUGUGAUUGAGCCACAUGACCCAUGAUAGCUGACUUGACCCCACCAGCACCGAGAUAAACUCAGAUGCCCCUGUUUUUAUUAGUCUUUAAAUAUUUUUUUUAAACCAAAUUUAAAUCCCUUUAGUGUUGGGAAUCUGUUAUGUUUCAGACAAUAAAACAACAAAUAACAAGUUUACUUACAGCUGAAGUGGUUUUAAAGAAUUAGGCGAUUUUACCUUUUAUGAAAGUAUUUUAAAUUUAUUGUUUUCAAAGAGAGAGAGAAAAGAACAUUUAACAAUUUACAUUACAAUUACUAAUUUUGUAAAACAAAACAAAACACUCCUUUGUUCUUGUUUUUAUAUUACAGUGUUGUCAGUCUAAAAGUAUUUCAAGAUCAUUGUUUUACUAUUCUUCUUUUUUUCCCAACAUUUAGCACUUUUUGUUAGCGGUACAGCUUUAGGUCUCUGCAUUUGCCAUAGAUGAAUAAAUUUAUGAUCUGCUUUUCUGCAGCUACUGGCGCCCGAUUUUGUACAUAUAGAUAUUUGAAAACAGUUAAUAAAGGUAACAACAAUGAAAAUGCCUUAAAUUAGUUACUAAAGCAACUUAGGUUUAUAUAAAAAAAAAAUUCCCCUGAAAUGCUUUAAUAUUGUAAAAUAGAAAUAUAGGAAAGACAAACCAUAGAAUGACACGGCAAUUUAUUUAUUGUAAAACUAAAUUAAAACUAAUAAAAUAUCUAAAAAUAAAGAAGGCAUCUCCUGACCACGAGCACAAGUGCUUUUAUAUCUGAGAGGCGUAGAGAAAAAUUUUACAGUGUAUCAAAUACAAAUAUCGAAAUUAAAAAAUAUUUUCAUAGAAUAAUAAAUAUUUCGAUACAAUAUAUUCUUACGCUCUUAGAAAUGUCCAAAGAAAGUCUGAGGAGUGGUGGGGGGCUAGUUGUACUUAAGUUAAAAAAAAAAAAAAGUCACUGAUAAAAUAUCUUCAGUAUACCUGUGGUUCUUUGUUUACAUUCUCAAGUUAGAUAUUUGACAAAGAGUAAAUGUUAUCUCUUUCUACACGUUAAAGGACACUUAUCAUUUUUUAUUUCGCGCGUUAAAUUUCAAAAUAUAUUUUCAAAUAAUAAUGCUCACAAGCAUCUUUCGCAAUUUAACACCUCUUGGUCUCCAUAAGGUUAAUAUUAUUUUUUUUGUAACUAAGAGAUUGUUAGUUAUUAUUUUGAAAUGUUGUCUUUAAAAGGGUUCUCAUAUUCUCUUGUUUACAAUUAAAGUCAGGUUAGAGGUUAGAUCAAGAACGACCAUGAUAUAAUCAACAGUGGGUUAACUCCUUGUACCUGAUGACUAGUGCGUGUGUGCUAGUGACUGUGCGUGUGCAGUGGUUAACUCAAAAUGAAAUACAAUCUUUUAGCCAAGAAGCCUUCAAGGUAUUAGACUUGGAUAAGUUAUAAGGCACAAUUUGGAUUAUAGAUUAUAAACACAAGGUAAUAAGACCAACCAAAUAAAUAAAUAGUGUGUGACGUUUCGGUAACAGCAUUUUUCAGCACUUUUGUCUGAAGAUGGUAACAACACUGUUACAGAAACGUCACACACUAUUUAUUUCUAAACGAGGUAAAAUCUUCCCAAUUACAUGCGUGGUAAGGACAAAAUACUCAGGAGAUAAGUUUCUUCAUUGUGAAUGAAGAAACUUAUCUCCUGAGUAUUUUGUCCUUACCACACACUAUUUAUUUAUUUGGAUUUGGUUUUAUUACCUUGUGUUUAGCAGACACCAUCAAGGGUCACAACUUGAUACUCUAAUAUGAUUGAGUGGAGAUAAGAAAGAAGACCAAUUAGACCAAGACCAAACGGGGGCAACUCCGAUAGUCGUGGUGCCUCUGAAUAACUAUGGCGGAUCGCUCAGUCUUAGCACUGGCGACGCAUCUUUCAAGUGUCUGCCUUAUCAACUUUCGAUGGUAGGUUAUGCGCCUACCAUGGUUGUUACGGGUAACGGGGAAUCAGGGUUCGAUUCCGGAGAGGGAGCCUGAGAAACGGCUACCACAUCCAAGGAAGGCAGCAGGCGCGCAAAUUACCCACUCCCGGCACGGGGAGGUAGUGACGAAAAAUAACAAUACGGGACUCUAACGAGGCUCCGUAAUUGGAAUGAGUACACUCUAAACCUUUUAACAAGGAUCUAUUGGAGGGCAAGUCUAGUGCCAGCAGCCGCGGUAAUUCUAGCUCCAAUAGCGUAUAUUAAGGUUGUUGCGGUUAAAAAGCUCGUAGUUGGAUCUCAGUCGCGCUCCCUUCGAUGCGUUGCAAAGCGUCUAUCGUUGGGGCCGACAGCACGUUGGUGGGCCCGGUUGGCUUUUACCGGUUGAUCGGGUUCUCCGGCAAUUUUACUUUGAAAAAAUUAGGGUGCUCAAAGCAGGCUGGUGCCUGGAAAUUGGUGCAUGGAAUAAUGGAAUAGGACCUCGGUUCUAUUUUGUUGGUUUUCGGAUCCCGAGGUAAUGAUUGAGAGGGACAGACGGGGGCAUUCGUAUUGCGGCGCUAGAGGUGAAAUUCUUGGACCGCUGCAAGACGAACUACUGCGAAAGCAUUUGCCAAGAAUGUUUUCAUUAAUCAAGAACGAAAGGUAGUGGUUCGAAGGCGAUCAGAUACCGCCCUAGUUCUAACCAUAAACGAUGCCAACCAGCGAUCCGCCUGAGUUCCUUAAACGACUCGGCGGGCAGCUUCCGGGAAACCAAAGUUUUUGGGUUCCGGGGGAAGUAUGGUUGCAAAGCUGAAACUUAAAGGAAUUGACGGAAGGGCACCACCAGGAGUGGAGCCUGCGGCAAAUGGGGCCCGUCGUUAACACCUUGGGACUUUUAAGACAGUUGGUGAUUGUGUGCGACACGAACGGCCGCUCAGCGGUGGCAGGCCCGGCUCUCUCCCCCGUCUCUCUCUCUGGUUGUCUGGGAUUCCUCUUCCAAACUUGUGGUGCCCUUAUUUCUCUCCCCACCUCAUCAUAUUUCCACAUGUAUGUCAUAAUAUAUACUCUUCCAGAAAUAAUAAAGCAAACCUACAGUAAACCCAGAGAGAGACGGGUGGAUAAGGACUGGCCACUUUAGACAUCAGCGACAUUCCAAGGGGCGACUACUGGGGCCCGUUACUUGGAACCUCUGGACUUUUAAGACAGUUGGGGAUUGUGUGAGACACAAACGGCCGCCCGGCUGUGCCUGUCUCGUCUCUCUCUCUCUCUGGUUGCCUGGGUUCCUCUUCCAAAUUGUGGUGUGAUUAUUUCUCUUCCCACCUUAUUAUAUUGUCACAUAUGUAUACAUUUUUGCUUAUCCCUAGUACACAUGGUACAGGCCAUGAUAAUCAUGGUGGGUAGAAGUAGGCGACUGCUUUUACUGUAAGUGCACCACAUGUUUACACAUGUGAAAAGCAGUUCGACUUUGUGCUUACAAAUGUGCCAGAGCCCUGUUUGGUUACUUGCACCUGCUGGUGGAGUUGGA